rnacentral:rRNA from 1 species
GGGCGACGGUUGUCCCGGUUUAAGCGUGUAGGCUGGUUUUCCAGGCAAAUCCGGAAAAUCAAGGCUGAGGCGUGAUGACGAGGCACUACGGUGCUGAAGCAACAAAUGCCCUGCUUCCAGGAAAAGCCUCUAAGCAUCAGGUAACAUCAAAUCGUACCCCAAACCGACACAGGUGGUCAGGUAGAGAAUACCAAGGCGCUUGAGAGAACUCGGGUGAAGGAACUAGGCAAAAUGGUGCCGUAACUUCGGGAGAAGGCACGCUGAUAUGUAGGUGAAGUCCCUCGCGGAUGGAGCUGAAAUCAGUCGAAGAUACCAGCUGGCUGCAACUGUUUAUUAAAAACACAGCACUGUGCAAACACGAAAGUGGACGUAUACGGUGUGACGCCUGCCCGGUGC